AUUGAACGCUGGCGGCAGGCCUAACACAUGCAAGUCGAGCGGCAGCGGGAAAGUAGCUUGCUACUUUUGCCGGCGAGCGGCGGACGGGUGAGUAAUGCCUGGGGAUCUGCCCAGUCGAGGGGGAUAACAGUUGGAAACGACUGCUAAUACCGCAUACGCCCUACGGGGGAAAGGAGGGGACCUUCGGGCCUUUCGCGAUUGGAUGAACCCAGGUGGGAUUAGCUAGUUGGUGGGGUAAUGGCUCACCAAGGCGACGAUCCCUAGCUGGUCGGAGAGGAUGAGCAGCCAAACUGGAACUGAGACACGGACCAGACUCCUACGGGAGGCAGCAGUGGGGAAUAUUGCACAAUGGGGGAAACCCUGAUGCAGCCAUGCCGCGCGUGUGAAGAAGGCCUUCGGGUUGUAAAGCACUUCCAGCGAGGAGGAAAGGUUGUUGGCUAAUACCCAGCAACUGUGACGUUACUCGCAGAAGAAGCACCGGCUAACUCCGUGCCAGCCGCCGCGGUAA
rnacentral:rRNA from 1 species